GUGCUUGUAGAAUUGUAGCCGUUCCUUCUUGUAGGAAUGGAGCUAAGGUACCAUCCCAGAAAUGCAAAUACUUUUUACGCUGUUUGAGCAGAACCCAUUGAAGCUGUAGCUUAAUACAGGACAUUUUUACUAUGCUCCUCUACUAUUGUACUACCAUGUAAUCACUUUGCAUUGCAUUGCUCCUUCUCCUGUUGCUAGCCGAGGUGUCUGACAGUUUUCUUGUUGCUGAAAAAUUCAGAUCAUGUGUCGUUUGUCAAGGAAAUCGCUGUGAUUGAUCCCCCGGAGCAUCUUAUCUUUUUGUUGAAUGUGCUUCAGGCAUGAGGCAUGACUUCACAUAUCUGAGUAAGAGUUUUCAUUUCCAAGGAUUCUUCAGUCGUGCCAACAGACCCUUUGUCAUGCAAGUUGAAAUAAUCUAAUAAUUAUUACAGUUUUAGAUUAGAGAAGAGAAAGAUCCAGAGAUUUUCAUACCUAGAGGAACUCGCCUUCUUGAUGCUCCUUGCUUACAUGAGGUAGUCCUUGGGAAUAUUUCCUCCAGGUCUGGCUAUUUUGAUCCUUUGCUAUAUGUGAUGGGAGAAGGGAGAGCAGGGAGGGGGGGAGGGAUAGCAGAGGAGGUUAGCAUAGGUAGACCAUGGGGAGGACAACUGGGCAUCAAAUUAUAGCUUGUUCCAGUUAUAUCAUAUAUUGCUGUAUGGAGCAGCUCUCCUUCCUUUUUCCAUCAAAAAGAUGUCAA
rnacentral:lncRNA from 1 species